UACAACAGGUGUAGUAGACCUUACAGUGAAAUGCUGAAUUACAACAGGUGUAGUAGACCUUACAGUGAAAUGCUGAAUACAACAGGUGUAGUAGACCUUACAGUGAAAUGCUGAAUACAACAGGUGUAGUAGACCUCACAGUGAAAUGCUGAAUACAACAGGUGUAGUAGACCUUACAGUGAAAUGCUGAAUACAACAGGUGUAGUAGACCUUACAGUGAAAUGCUGAAUACAACAGGUGUAGUAGACCUCACAGUGAAAUGCUGAAUACAACAGGUGUAGUAGACCUCACAGUGAAAUGCUGAAUACAACAGGUGUAGUAGACCUCACAGUGAAAUGUUGAAUACAACAGGUGUAGUAGACCUCACAGUGAAAUGCUGAAUACAACAGGUGUAGUAGACCUUACAGUGAAAUGCUGAAUACAACAGGUGUAGUAGACCUCACAGUGAAAUGCUGAAUACAACAGGUGUUGUAGACCUUACAGUGAAAUGCUGAAUACAACAGGUGUAGUAGACCUUACAGUGAAAUGCUGAAUACAACAGGUGUAGUAGACCUUACAGUGAAAUGCUGAAUACAACAGGUGUAGUAGACCUCACAGUGAAAUGCCGAAUACAACAGGUGUAGUAGACCUUACAGUGAAAUGCUGAAUACAACAGGUGUAGUAGACCUCACAGUGAAAUGCUGAAUACAACAGGUGUAGUAGACCUCACAGUGAAAUGCUGAAUACAACAGGUGUAGUAGACCUUACAGUGAAAUGCUGAAUACAACAGGUGUAGUAGACCUUACAGUGAAAUGCUGAAUACAACAGGUGUAGUAGACCUUACAGUGAAAUGCUGAAUACAACAGGUGUAGUAGACCUUACAGUGAAAUGCUGAAUACAACAGGUGUAGUAUACCUUACAGUGAAAUGCUGAAUACAACAGGUGUAGUAGACCUUACAGUGAAAUGCUGAAUACAACAGGUGUAGUAGACCUUACAGUGAAAUGCUGAAUACAACAGGUGUAGUAGACCUCACAGUGAAAUGCUGAAUACAACAGGUGUAGUAGACCUCACAGUGAAAUGCUGAAUACAACAGGUGUAGUAGACCUCACAGUGAAAUGCUGAAUACAACAGGUGUAGUAGACAUUACAGUGAAAUGCUGAA